rnacentral:lncRNA from 1 species
AUUUGGGAAAGGAGAAGAGAGAAACUAAGGCCAGUUGUAUGGAGGACGAUGGGGCAGGGGGACAGUCUAUGUCCAUGGGACUUAACUCUCCUGGGCAGCCCUGAGUGUCUCAGGAUGAAUUGACAGUGGCUUGUUGUGGGCUGGGCUGCGUGACCACCAUCUUUGUCUCCUCUCCAGAGUCCUCGGUAAGAUCUCUGUUGCCUUGCAUUCCUCAUUGUGGCUCAGUGGGUUAAGAACCCAGCUAGCAUCUAUGUGGACAUGGGUUUGAUCCCUGGCCUCGCUCAGAGGGUUAAAGAUCUGGCAUUGCCCCAAGCUGCAGCAUAGGUCAAAGAUGAGGCUCAGAUCUGGUGUGGCUGUGGCUGUAAAGUAGGCCAGCAGCUGCAGCUCCAGUUUGACCCCUAGCCCAGGAACUUACAUAAGCCUCAGGUGUGGCCCUAAAAAAAAAAAAGACUGUGCAUUCUACACAUACGGUGGAGAUGGUGUGCAUUCUACACAUACGGUGGAGAUGGUGUAUAGGGAACAACAGAUAGUUUGGUUGCACAAAUGUGAUGCCUGUUGCUUCCGUGUGGCCACUGAGGACAGUUCUAACUAUCUUCAUCAGCAUCAGCUAAGAGUUACUGAGCAUAAUUCUGGGCCAGAUGUUUAUUUUUUUAUCCUCGUGGAAAAUAUGGAAUGCUCCUCAUUCCAUUCACCAUGGAUGGAAGCUAUUGAAGGAAUGCUUGGAGGAGGAAUGCUUUGAGUACAUUGUGUGAGUGUGUGUGGUGGGGAGGCUGAGUGUAGGGGAGGAGGGGGUCAAGAAAGCCUUCACAAGCCUUCAUAGGGAGGAAAGCCUUGCAUUUCAAGAUGAACUGAGCACAUUUGAUGAUGGAGAUGAUAUCAAAGAUAAAAACAUAGCCGAGCUUGAAAAUAAGGGACUACUUAUUGGGCCAGAGGUUGAGAAAACUACCUAAUAAGACAGCAAACAUCUGAGUUGAGUUUGGCAAUGUGAGUUAGGAUCCUGAAAGUCAAAAGAGAGGAAAUUAUUCCAGAACGAGGGAGCAGUGGGGACAGAGCAAUGGCAUGGCGUGAAGGGGGCAUGAGGCUGGCACCGCAAGCACAAAGCCACCUGAGGGGAAGUGAGACUGGGAAAGUGGGCUGGAGACCGCUUGUCACAUCUAAGCUGUCAUGCUGAGCUAAGACUCUGGACUGAAUUUUGUAGGAAAAGGAGAUUUUGAGGGAGACACCAUGAUUGGUGGUUGUACCAAGGGAAACACAGAUGGACAAGUGGAGGUAUAAUUGGUGAGGCAAGAACUCAGGGAUGCUAGGGUGGUAGGGAGUGAGCUGUCCUCGCCUGUGUCAGGACAGGAGGAGAGGAUUGUUGCCAUGGACCCGAUGAGGCAAGGCCGAACUAGCACCACACAGUGGAGGCAUGGCGGCCAUGUGUGUGAUCCUUGGAAGUAGAAUCCACAGGUCAAGUGCACUGGUAGUCACCUUAGAUACUGCUGAUGAUGACAAUGUCAUUGGGCAUCUCUUGGGAGCCAGCAUGGUGCCAGGCACUAUGUUUACAUUAUGGUCGUGUUGAAGGGCAAGGACCACAUGGUAUUCCUUGCUUAGCUCCUAAUUUGGUGUCAUGUGAUAGGAGUUGAGGAAGCCAUGAAGCCAGGGUUAGCAACUAAGUCACGCCCAUUUUACAGUUGAGAAAACUGAGGCCUAGGAAUGGCAAUGAGGCAACAGAACCAGGCUAAUACCCAUCUCCAGCCUCCCUAUUGAGUGCUCUUCCUGUGUCAUGACUUCCCAGUUGAAGAUAAUGCCUCUUCUUUUUGAAGCCACUGUCAGCUGCUGCUUUGGCUGUGACAUUUUGACCUUACUGCCUCUGAGCUAAUUAGGUCCUGGGGCUGCUAGGCCUGAUUCUCUUAACGUUUGCAUGGACAAGUGUGAUGUACCCAGGCCUCCUUGCCUGACACUGCUGUGUGAUGCCAGCUGUUUGCUGAAGGUCUCCAUGGAGAAUAUGCUGCCUGGCUUGCUCUGGUGCGCAGAGGGCAGGCAGCUCAGAGUGACAGGUGGGGCCUUCAGGACAGGCCUCUCCUUUAGGAAAGGCAGGUCCUUAUUCCAAGCAAGGAGCCAAUUUCCUAUUGCAGCCUCCGUGUGCGAGAGAAAGCAGCUCUGCCUGUUCAGAACCCAAAGCUGUGUUUGUCUUGAACUGUCCAAAUGUUUAUCCUUGCACCAGUGGGACUCGAGCGAGACUAGACACCCCGGCCAUGCAGUUUCCCUUUUCAAUUUUUAAUUCAUUUUCCUUGACGCACAGCUCAGAAGCUUGGCCUCCACAUCUGGGCCCCUUUCUCACCUGUCUCAUUGUCACAGGUGAGUCUCAAAGCCAGGGCAUGGUGGGUAAGGCCCAGCCAGGGAAGGGUUCAACAAGACAACCUCAGCAUGUCUGUAGAUUCAUGGGUUCUCGAGAACUUCUCAGACGAGCACAUUGUGCAUUCAGGAAGUCCUUACUUCUCACCUGCACCAGGCGCUCUUCCAGGCACUGGGCAUAAGGCAGUGAGUGCCAGAGACCCAGGGCGUGAAUUAUUUACGUUGAUAUAAAGUUGUAGAGCUCAGUGUAAACAAUGACAAAUGAGAAUCACCAUUCGCCAGUGCUUUUUAUAGCUACCACCUGGAGCUUCACCACCAAAGUGAUAAACAUGCUUUGACCAGGGCUCAGAAUAGCCCGUCUUGCGUUGUCUCUCCCCUUGGCACUCAGGCUUAGCUUCACAAAAACAGCAGAUCUGGACAGGGCCCCCUCUUGGAGCAAUGGCUGAGGUUUCUGUAUUACAGUCUCCUAGGCUGUCAAGGAUUACUGCUUCCCUUAUCUUUUUUAACAUUAAAGUAUUUCUUUUUGUUUUCUGUUUGGCUGUGCCCAUGGCACAUGGAAGUCCCCAGGCCGGGAUCCAACCCGUGCCAUAGCAGUGACCCAAGCUACUGGAGUGACACCAGAUCCGUUAUCCACUGUGCCGUAGGAGAACUCUGUGGUUUCUGAUGUAAAGUUGGUACAUGCUUAAUUCAAAAUUUGGGAAUUUACUGGGAGAAUGGAUGCUCAGUUCCACUUUGGAGGUGGCCCCGCACUAAGGGAUAUAUCAGUGUUGCAGUGAAUUCCACUGAGACACCCCCAGGCUGCGGAUGUAGUUGGGGUCCUGGCUCACUACAUCUCACGUUCUCUGCUUCUGCAGACUUGGGGUAGAAAUUUCUUCCUGCCAGGAUUGCCAUGGUCCUCCUGGUGGACCGCCAGUGAAUACUCUAAAGUGGAAAAGAGAUCCUGGCCCCUUGUUGCAGUGGCUCCUUGGAGCCUGGUUGGUGGGCCAUUGACAAUACACAGCGCCUCAGGGUUUGCAUUCUGUGUUUUCACAUCCUCCCAGCUUCACCCGUGUCUUCCCUCAUUUCCCUUUUGCCUCAUGUGUGUGGUUGUGUGCUCUGUACAGUUUUGUGAGCCAAGCGAAAUCUUUCUAUGAGUCAGGCAGUCCAGGCAGACCUCAGAGAUAUUGCAGGUUCAUUUCCCGACCACUGAACUAAGCGAAUAUUGUGAUAGAGUGCGUCAUACAAAUAUCUUGGUUUCCCAGUGCAUAUAUAAAUUGUGUUUACACUGUACUGUGGUCUGUUAAGUGUGCAAUAGCAUUAUGGGUUUUUUUUAAUUAACUUUUAUUUCAAUAGGAAAUUCUUAUGCAUUCCUGAACCCAGAGUGACACUAACUUAUGGCAACAUCAUAUUCCAUUGAGAUGGAUAAGUUACUUUAAUGAGCAACAUUAGCUGUCAUAACAUAACCUAAUAAGUCAUAUGACCUUCAAUUACUUGAUAAUACAAUCAUUUUGCCAUUGAAUGGUUUUAAAAGACAAUGUACAUACCUUAAAAGUCAUGUAUUACUAAAAGAUACUAAUCAUCAUCGGAGCCUUCAGCAAGUCAUUCACUAACAUCAAAGGUCACUUUAACAAAUGAUAAAGUUUGAAUUACCAAAUUACCAAAAUGGGACACAAUGACACGAAGUGAACAAAUGCUGUUGAAAAAAAUGGCUCCUAUAGACUUGCCUGACAGUGUUGCCACGAACCUUCGAUUUGUCAAAAAAAAAAAAAACCCCAAAAAACAAAAUACAAAAAACAAAAACAGUAUCUUCAAAGAGCAAUAAAGCAAGGUGUGUCUGGAUACAUAAAUAAAAAGGGCAGGAAGCACACAGAGUAGGCCUUUAUUCUUUGGUUGUACUUUAUUGAAUCAUAAACCAAAAUCAAUAUGAGAUAGUCUAGUUCAGGGUUAAGUUUUUCUGUAAAGGGCCAUAUAAUAAAUAUUUUAGGCUUUGCAGAUCAUAGAAACUCUCUCACAACUACUCCACUCUGCCAUUGUGAUUUGAAGGCGGCACAGAAAAUACAUGGAUGAGGCUGUGUUCCAAUAAAACUUUAAUUACAAAAACAGGUGGUGGGCCAGACUUUGCUUCUGGGGCCAUAGUUUACUGAUAUUUGGUCUAGUUCAACUCCUUAUUUUAUAAAUUAAGAUAUCGAGAAGUUCCCCAUUGUGGUUCAGUGUGUUAAGAAGCUGACUAGUGUCUGUGAGGAUGAGGGUUCGAUCCCUGGCCUUGCUCAGUGGGUUAAGGAUCCACUGUUGCCGUGAGCUGCAGUGUAGGUUACAGAUGUGGCUCAGAUCUGGUGUGGCUGUGCUGUAGGCCAGUAGCUGCUGCUCCGAUUCAACC